UACGUAGGGGCUAGCGUUGUCCGGAUUUAUUGGGCGUAAAGAGCGUGUAGGCGGCCAGGUAGGUCUGGUGUGAAAACUCGAGGCUUAACCUCGAGAUGUCAUCGGAAACCAUCUGGCUAGAGUCCGGAAGAGGAGAGUGGAAUUCCUGGUGUAGCGGUGAAAUGCGCAGAUAUCAGGAAGAGCACCAAUGGCGAAAGCAGCUCUCUGGGACGGUACUGACGCUGAGACGCGAAAGCGUGGGGAGCGAACAGG
rnacentral:rRNA from 1 species